UACACUCAAAUUGCAGGACAAACGACGAACUUUACUUCAAAAAUACUGACUAUUAACAACACCAGAAAUGAAAAGUUUUAUAAAGCUCGUGAAUUGAAUAUUUACAUCUAUUUUGGAUUGAUAUCAGCAAUAAUAUUAACGGCAAUCUCAUCUAUCUCAUUAUUAUACAAACUCUUUGUUUCUGCCUCAAUAAAACUCCACAACAAUAUGUUUCGUUGUAUUAUUCGUACUCCAAUUUCUUUCCUGGAUAACAAUCCGAUUGGUAAAAUCCUGAAUCGAUUUUCAAGAGAUACAAGUGGAAUGGACGACAUGUUACCACUUGUUUAUCACGAAACUAUCAGAUCAUUUAGUUUAGUAAUUGGAAUAUUUGUUAUCGAAGGAAUUAU